AGAUGUGAAGAUGGUCUGGCUGCCACAUCUGUCACUGCAUUUACCACCAGGUUUGAUUUGGCUGAUCUGGCUGGCUAGGCAGGUGUUUCCUUCCUUCCUCACCACUUCCUGUGUGUCCCUCCUGAAGCUGUCCCCAAAAGACGAGGACUGUGUCAAAGGUAUAUGAAUAGCUAGUUGCACUCACCAUGCUAGAACCUCCAAACAAAUUCUAAAAAUAAAAAAUAAAAAUAAACCCAAAUCUGAUUCACAAUUCUCCGUGAAUUAUUUAAGUAUGUGAUACUUAAAUAAUUGGAC
rnacentral:snRNA from 1 species